UACAUAAACUCUCUGGCUUCCUUCUGGUAGUGAUACUCUCUGAACUUAAACUGGUCCUUAGACAGAAGAUGCAGUCUAUAACUGGAACAAGAUACAACUGCCCCAAAGAACAUCUACUGUUCUAUCCUGUAAAUUGUGACAAGACUCAAUGGGCUAAUACUUUCCAAAUGAUGCAUCAAAAUGAUGCAUCUUUAGCUGAAGCAGAAUGAAAACAGCUUGGAAAGCAGAAUUAUCCAAGUCAGG